AUCAAAUUAGCAAAAUUGAAUGCAAUUGACUUAGGAUCAAUAAAUAUAGGUGAAAGUCCUUUAUUUGAUA
rnacentral:tRNA from 1 species